rfam:Macrostomum lignano uti_cns_0007846, whole genome shotgun sequence.
AAAACGGCCUUUUUCAAGGCCACCACGUGUCAGAUAGUGCUGUUCG